CCUACGGGGUGCUGCAGUGGGGAAUAUUGGACAAUGGGCGAAAGCCUGAUCCAGCCAUGCCGCGUGUGUGAAGAAGGCCUUCGGGUUGUAAAGCACUUUCAGUGGGGAAGAAAGCCUUGGGGCUAAUACCCUCGAGGAAGGACAUCACCCACAGAAGAAGCACCGGCUAACUCCGUGCCAGCAGCCGCGGUAAUACGGAGGGUGCGAGCGUUAAUCGGAAUUUCUGGGCGUAAAGCGCGCGUAGGCGGUCUGAUAAGCCGGUUGUGAAAGCCCCGGGCUCAACCUGGGAACGGCAUCCGGAACUGUCAGGCUAGAGUGCAGGAGAGGAAGGUAGAAUUCCCGGUGUAGCGGUGAAAUGCGUAGAGAUCGGGAGGAAUACCAGUGGCGAAGGCGGCCUUCUGGACUGACACUGACGCUGAGGUGCGAAAGCGUGGGUAGCAAACAGGAUUAGAUACCCCUGUAGUC
rnacentral:rRNA from 1 species